GCACGUGUAGCUCAACUGGAUAGAGCAUCGGUCUACGGAACCGAAGGUUUCAGGUUCGACUCCUGACACGUGCA
rnacentral:tRNA from 1 species